GUUAGGAUGAGAUUGAGAGAGAGGAUGAGAGAGGAGGAUGGGAGGGAUAAGUAACAAAAGUGAAAACAAUUUCAAAUAGAUUUCAGUUUUUACUUUCUGUUUUCACUUUUGUUACUCCUCCCUCCCAUCAUUCCCUCUCAUCUUCCCUCUCAAUCCCAUCUUCAUU
rnacentral:miRNA from 1 species